GUUGUCUUCAUUCUGUGGGAA
rnacentral:piRNA from 1 species